rnacentral:rRNA from 1 species
AUUGAACGCUGGCGGCAGGCUUAACACAUGCAAGUCGAACGAGUGGCGAACGGGUGAGUAAUACGUGGGAAACUGCCCUCCUUUUUGGGAUAAGCCUUGGAAACGGGGUCUAAUAACGAAUACAGGGGGAUGGGCUCGCGGCCUAUCAGCUUGUUGGUGGGGUGUUGGCCUACCAAGGCGGUGACGGGUAGCCGGCCUGAGAGGAUGACCAGCAACACUGGAACUGAGACACGGUCCAGACUCCUACGGCAGGCAGCAGUGGGGAAUAUUGCACAAGGGGCGCAAGCCUGAUGCAGCCAUGCCGCGGGUGUGAAGAAGGCCUUCGGGUUGUAAAGCACUUUCAGCGAGGAGGCGUUACUCGCAGAGGAAGCACCGGCUAACUCCGUGCCAGCAGCCGCGGUAAUUC